CCUACGGGUGGCAGCAGUGAGGAAUAUUGGUCAAUGGGCUUACGACUGAACCAGCCAAGUCGCGUGAGGGAAGACUGCCCUAUGGGUUGUAAACCUCUUUUGUCAGGGAGCAACGCCGGCUACGUGUAGCCGGACUGAGAGUACCUGAAGAAAAAGCAUCGGCUAACUACGUGCCAGCAGCCGCGGUAAUACGUAGGGGGCAAGCGUUAUCCGGAUUUACUGGGUGUAAAGGGAGCGUAGGCGGCGUGGCAAGUCAGAAGUGAAAGCCCGGGGCUCAACUCCGGGACUGCUUUUGAAACUGUAUGGCUAGAUUGCAGGAGAGGCAAGUGGAAUUCCUGGUGUAGCGGUGAAAUGCGUAGAUAUUAGGAGGAACACCAGUGGCGAAGGCGGCUUGCUGGACUGUAAAUGACGCUGAGGCUCGAAAGCGUGGGGAGCAAACAGGAUUAGAUACCCGAGUAGUC
rnacentral:rRNA from 1 species